ACACGCAUGACACACUGCAUAUCAAUAAGCGGAGGAAAAGAAACUAACAAGGAUUCCCUUAGUAACGGCGAGUGAAGCGGGAAGAGCUCAAAUUUGAAAUCUUCAAGGUUCUACCUUGACGAAUUGUAGUUUAUAGAAGUGUUUUCUGUUAGUAGGAGUGGCAAAAGUUCUUUGGAAUAGGACAUCAUAGAGGGUGAGAAUCCCGUAUUUGGUCAUUCCUUCCUAGCGUUGUGAUACACUUUCAACGAGUCGGAUUGUUUGGGAAUGCAGUCCAAAAUGGGUGGUAAAUUUCAUCUAAAGCUAAAUAUUGGCGAGAGACCGAUAGCGAACAAGUACCGUGAGGGAAAGAUGAAAAGAACUUUGAAAAGAGAGUUAAACAGUACGUGAAAUUGUCAAAAGGGAAGCGUUUGACACCAGUGUUGUUUUUCCGAAAAUCAAUUACGAAUGUUUUAUUUUUGAGGAGUUAUGACUUCAUCGGCUUGCUUCUCUCUUUACUGAAACUUUCUUAAUGCACUUUUCGGUUAACAAGUCAACAUCAAUUUCUUUUGUUGUAAAAGGGUACUGAGGAAGGUGGCUUUCUUUUCGGAGAAAGUGUUUAUAGCCUUGUACCUCUGCAAUCGGAGAGAUUGAGGUCUGCAGCGUAGAUCCUUCGGGGUUAGAUACAUUUGUGCUAAGUUAUAGCCUUUUCAUAGAUCAACUUGUUGACUAUGAUUCAGUCAUUGUAGCUUACUCGCUUAUGCUAUUUUACCUACGCUUAGGAUGUUGAGCGCAUGUCUCUCUCU
rnacentral:rRNA from 1 species